rnacentral:lncRNA from 1 species
CUGCAUCGUCGCACUCGUGGACCGUCGCAGGCCUCUACCGUCACACUCCUCUGCCGUCAGAGAAAUCGGUAAGAUUAUUCUAUUCUUCUAUUUUUCUUAUGUUUUUCCCUCUGCCCUUAGUUUUUGUUUCUUUUUGGUUUCUUUUAAUUGCAAGACAAAUAAGAUUGGGUUUAUGCAGACUAAAAUGUUUCAUUUGAGAUGGUCUUUUUUUCUUUUUUCUUUUUUUUUGCCGG